GGCAGAUGUGGAGGGAAUGCCACAAGUUGCCUGGCGGGUGGAGCCAGGACCACGCCCUGAACACCAGAAACAGAAGAGUGGGCCAGGAAGGGGAAGUAUAAAAGGCCAGCCCAGCAGCUCAGCUGGGACAGAGGUGCUGAGAGAGACAGACAUGUCGUCCCUACUGCUGGAGUGGGAUACUGAGGAGAACCGCAGCUGCCCUUAGAACCCUGCCACUCUCCACGCUGAGGAACUGCUAUUGCUACCCUUGGUGGUAUAUCCCAGGGAAACGAAGAAUGAUCCCUGGAUGCAGUCUCUGUUUGGAGUGAUAACUCUCAUUCAGGGAUAGCCAGUAAGUGGCACUAGUGGGGACAGCAGUGUUGGAAUUAACAAUGGCAUUGGAAGCAGCAUUCAGCUCAGACCUGACAGUUUUGCACAGUCAGGGGCACUCAUUUCAUGCUCAGGCACCCAUUCAAGCUUUCCUGAAUUCAGUUGCCUUCCUCAACGUGUGUGUACUUCUGUGAAAAUAGAAGCCCAACAAUCCUGAGGAGAUGGACUGCAGCCAUUCUGGAAGCAUCAUGCAUCUCAACCCUUUAAGUAAUACUGGAUACAUAAUUCUGAAAGUGGAUUUUGUCUCACCUGCCCUGGUAGAUCUUGAGGAUAUAAAACAGCAGCUCCUGAAUGAGGUAGAAGAAAUACUAAAGGGGAGUUUUCCCAUAGGGUCAUUCCAGCUGAAAUGAGUCAGCUAUGAACUGUGACAAGACCAGACCAAACGACCCAGCACUAACAUGAAGUUCUCUAAAGAAGGAAAAAAAUGCUCCUUUUGGUACAAAUAAUUUUGGACAGUGGAACCAGAAUGUGUAUGGGCAGAUCAUAGAUAAAAAAUAAAGUUAACAUUUCAGGCAGGGAGACAGGGAUGUAGAAUAAGUGUAGCUAACUGCUGAGGAAAGGUACAAGGAAAUUAGAUAGUGUCUCUUGUGGAGGAAAUGGAAGAGGGAAUUCUCAACCAGUGCAUCACCAGACCGUUGUUUGUUUUUGCCCCAGUGCCCAGAAUCCCCAUUCAGGAUUAGGCCCCCUUGUGUUGGGCAAUGUAGAGGUAUAUUAAGGCAGGCCCAAGCCCAGAGAGCUUCCAGUCUAAAUAAGGACAAGACAACAACAGGUAAACGUAGAACAGAACAGAGAUGGUAGGGUCAAGGUGGUGACAAGAAAUAGAAGAACAAAGUUGCAUACAUUCACUGUGUGUAUAGUUUGAAAGCCUUUAAAACCCUGUAUAUAAAAUGACAAUUUUAAAAAUAAGCUUUUACC